CAAUAGCGUAUAUUAAAGUUGUUGCAGUUAAAAAGCUCGUAGUUGGAUUUCUGGUGGGAGCGAUCGGUCUGGCGCUUAGCGCGAGUACUUGCAUCGUCUCCGGCCAUCCUUGGGGAGAGUCUGUCUGGCAUUAAGUUGUCGGGCAAAGGAUCCUCAUCGUUUACUGUGAAAAAAUUAGAGUGUUCAAAGCAGGCUUAUGCCGUUGAAUAUAUUAGCAUGGAAUAAUAAGAUAGGACUUUGGUACUAUUUUGUUGGUUUGCGCACCAAAGUAAUGAUUAAUAGGGACAGUUGGGGGUAUUCGUAUUCCGUUGUCAGAGGUGAAAUUCUUGGAUUUACGGAAGACGAACUACUGCGAAAGCAUUUACCAAGGAUGUUUUCAUUAA
rnacentral:rRNA from 1 species